AUUGAACGCUGGCGGCAUGCCUUACACAUGCGAGUCGAACGGCAGCAUGAUCUAGCUUGCUAGAUUGAUGGCGAGUGGCGAACGGGUGAGUAACACAUCGGAACGUGCCCUGUAGUGGGGGAUAACUAGUCGAAAGAUUAGCUAAUACCGCAUACGACCUGAGGGUGAAAGUGGGGGACCGCAAGGCCUCAUGCUAUAGGAGCGGCCGAUGUCUGAUUAGCUAGUUGGUGAGGUAAAGGCUCACCAAGGCGACGAUCAGUAGCUGGUCUGAGAGGACGAUCAGCCACACUGGGACUGAGACACGGCCCAGACUCCUACGGGAGGCAGCAGUGGGGAAUUUUGGACAAUGGGCGAAAGCCUGAUCCAGCAAUGCCGCGUGUGUGAAGAAGGCCUUCGGGUUGUAAAGCACUUUUGUCCGGAAAGAAAUGGCUCUGGUUAAUACCUGGGGUCGAUGACGGUACCGGAAGAAUAAGGACCGGCUAACUACGUG
rnacentral:rRNA from 1 species